rnacentral:rRNA from 1 species
AUUGAACGCUGGCGGAAUGCUUUACACAUGCAAGUCGAACGGCAGCACGGGUGCUUGCACCUGGUGGCGAGUGGCGAACGGGUGAGUAAUACAUCGGAACGUACCCAGUCGUGGGGGAUAACGUAGCGAAAGUUACGCUAAUACCGCAUACGUCCUGAGGGAGAAAGCGGGGGACCGUAAGGCCUCGCGCGAUUGGAGCGGCCGAUGGCGGAUUAGCUAGUUGGUGGGGUAAUGGCCUACCAAGGCGACGAUCCGUAGCGGGUCUGUGAGGACGGCCCGCCACACUGGAACUGAGACACGGUCCAGACUCCUACGGGAGGCAGCAGUGGGGAAUUUUGGACAAUGGGCGAAAGCCUGAUUCAGCCAUUCCGCGUGAGUGAAGAAGGCCUUCGGGUUGUAAAGCUCUUUCGGCAGGGAAGAAGCGGCUUGGGAUAAUACCCCGGGCUAAUGACGGUACCUGAAGAAGAAGCACCGGCUAACUACGUGCCAGCAGCCGCCGUAA